GGAUUAGAUACCCUGGUAGUCCACACCGUAAACGAUGUCUACUAGCUGUUUGUGCGAUUUAAGCGUGAGUAGCGCAGCUAACGCGAUAAGUAGACCGCCUGGGGAGUACGGCCGCAAGGUUAAAACUCAAAUGAAUUGACGGGGGCCCGCACAAGCGGUGGAGCAUGUGGUUUAAUUCGAUGCAACGCGAAGAACCUUACCAGGACUUGACAUCCAGAGAAGUUACCAGAGAUGGUUUCGUGCCUUCGGGAACUCUGAGACAGGUGCUGCAUGGCUGUCGUCAGCUCGUGCCG
rnacentral:rRNA from 1 species